ensembl:snoRNA SNORA70 Small nucleolar RNA SNORA70
CUGAGAAUCAGAAUUCCUCUCCUCAUGGGGACUCUGUGUGCAGUGAUUGCAAACAGCAGCCUGCUUUGUCGUGCUUGUAGCCUGUUGUUUGUAGGGGUUGCUCCAUAAGGGACCUUGGUGACAGUU